ensembl:lncRNA
AUGAUGGACGACGGUCAAACAAAUGACCCUCGGGACGAGUCUAGAACGGGGGGAAACCCCUUCAUAAGACGUCAAACGAGUGGCGAGGAGGACAGAGGGUCUGUGGAGUGGCAGCUGGGAAACGGGCCGGUCCGAUGUUCUCUGCUCAUCCUGUGGGAGUCCAAUGAAGAGCAGAGCAAAGAUGCCAGCUUUGGUUCUCCCAGUACACAAACCAGCCUGAGAGAAUGCCAUUCAUCAGUUUUCCAGACCUGGAGCUUCAGUAUUCGGGAAGUUCAGCAUGAGACAUUUAAAGGCUCAAGGGAAAACAGCAGACAGAAAUCCGGAGUCUCAGAGAUCGUGUAGAAGACAGCUGAGCUUGAGAUUAUGGAAAAGUGUCUGUCAUGUCCAUGUGUGAAGUACAUCAUGUGUCUGUCUAACAGUAUUCUACUAGUGCACACCGACCAUCCCACGACACAUUUACAGGUACAGUUUCUUCUAGCUGAUUUCAUCUCUAUUUCUCAUCUACUGCAGGAGUAAUGUAUGUCUGGUGGUGUGGAUUAAUGCGUGUUUUCAGCUGCUUUCUCAAGGAUCUCAGACCCGGCUGUGGUGUUUGUACCACCUGAACAGCAUUACUCUCCUCAAGCCCUUUCUCAUCAACAUCUGCAGCUCGUUUAUGUUGCCGCUCCACGACAGCGUCUGUCAAAGCGAGCAGCUCUGUUUCAUACGUGACAUGUUGCAGUGGAUCUUUUUCCCUGACAUUUCAUCACACAGCUAGGAUUCUCCAUCACUGUUGAACAUCUAUGAAUCUUCAAGCAAACACUCCAUCUGCAUCCAGAAGCCUCUGGAGCACAAAUCAUCUCCGGCUGAAUCUCGUCUACCUGACGAACACUCUGCGUCUCCAGAUCAACGCGCUGGAAUGUUCCACCUGUUUAUCCUGUGUUCUCUUACUAUAAACCACUCCCGACGAAUGGUUUUCUUCUCUGGACAACAAAGCUAAAUAUUGUACACUGUGUAUAUGUGUUUAGAUGACUGUCAAGCUCUUUAUGAUCAGUGGAAACAGGCAGCUUUUUAUAAGCAAAACUUCUUUCACCUCGUGCUCCUACAUUUUAUUUGUGACAUACACAGAUGUCCUAUAGAAAUACACAACCUGAGUCUCAUGGAAAAGGCUGCACCUUAUGUUUGCUUCACUUAGUGCUGAAGCCACGUGUGAAAUCUCUCUGACGGUCAGUGACGCGAGAGCUUUAACCCUUCGGGCCACUGAAAGAGGAGGAUGUGCUGGGUUUUUAUCCAGUCUCAUGUCAACAAUUAAGAAAGAGAGGAAUGUGAGAUAUGCAAACAAAAACAGAGAUGGAGAAAGCAGAAGAUUUCUAACUGGUGUUGGGUCAUUGCUAUGAGCCUCCUGACGCCAAAGAGCUGAAACAAAACCACUCUUUCAGUUCAGAGGCUGCAAGACCUGCUGAUGGAAACCACACAAUACAAAAAUAAAAUAAAAUCACCAAUGGAUGCUCUGCA